AUUGAACGCUGGCGGCGUGCUUAACACAUGCAAGUCGAUCGGUAACGCGGGGGCAACCCUGGCGACGAGAGGCGGACGGGUGAGGAACGCUUGGGAAUCUGCCUAUCAGCGGGGGACAACCCGGGGAAACUCGGGCUCAUACCGCAUACGCUCUACGGAGGAAAGCCGGGGACCGCAAGGCCUGGCACUGAUAGAUGAGCCCAAGUCGGAUUAGCUAGUUGGCGGGGUAACGGCCCACCAAGGCGACGAUCCGUAGCUGGUCUGAGAGGACGAUCAGCCACACGGGGACGGAGACACGGCCCAGACUCCUACGGGAGGCAGCAGUGGGGAAUAUUGGACAAUGGGGGAAACCCUGAUCCAGCGACGCCGCGUGGGUGAAGAAGGCCUGCGGGUUGUAAAGCCCUUUCGGUAGGGACGAAAGCUCUCGACCUAACACGUCGGGAGGUUGACUUAACCUACAAAAGAAGCACCGGCUAACUCUGUGCCAGCCGCCGCCGUAAAAC
rnacentral:rRNA from 1 species